GGAGCGCUCCUCGCAGCAGCUGCCUGGGUCCCACCGCCCUAUCGGGCGCGGGCGAUCACACAACCUCGGAGGAUGCGCUCAGACACCCAGACGUCCGACCACCUCAGUGGGCACACUCGGCACCCUGUGAUCCGACCACCCGCGGAGGCGCGCUAGCCCUCCGGGUGGGCGUGCUGGGCUUCUCUGCGGCGGAAGUCUGGACCACAGAUUGUGACUUUUCUUCUAGCAGUAGGUGUCGACUGGUCUGACUGCUGCCCUUCUGCCUGAGAGUAGUUCAAACUGAAGAGAAGAAAACAUAUGCGCUUGGUCUGCCAUCUUAAACCAGAGGUCUGAAAGUCGCCCACAAGGACCUCUUCAAUUGAGGAUAACAGACACCAGAGCCUCACUACCAUAAACAUUUCCACAAGACACCCUGUCUCCACAGCAGACCUGAAAGAUGACCUCUUACCAAGGUCCCAGGUAAUAUGUGCCUGAGAAGAGCAGCAGACCCAUGGUGGCUGGGUGCAGCAUCCUCCUCUGAGGGGCUCUCUGAUUUCAGAAGGUAAGAUAGGUCACGGUGAACAAGCUCUAGGUAUGAGGUGGUUGUGGUGACUAAUGGGUUCCAAGUGUGCUCUUAAUGUUGGCAGCCUCGGUUCUAUAACACUGCCCACUGCAGUCACUCUGACAGCCUUAAUAUAUGCAUCCCCAAACUUGAGGCCAUCUUCCUGAUGCUGCUUUCUGAGUGAGUGCUGAGAUUUAAGGGUGUCUACCACCACACCCAGCUGUCUCCUUAAGCUUUGAUAUUGGAAGCAAAACAAAACCACAUUUCCAAGAAUGUGAUGGAUUCUGUGAACCAAUGGUUCCCCAUGCCCAAAGGCAUUAUUAAGAGUGACUGAUAGGGUACACACCACCCCUCAGGGCUUGCCUGGCAGAGCUGUCUUAGGAACACUAUGUUGUUGGGGCCAUUUCUGUGGAGACAAGGAAGCCUGGGUGAGCUCUCUGCUGUGGUGACUAUGGUAAAUGGAACUGGCUACAAAUCUUUAUUUGCCUCAUUUCUCCCGCAGUCAAAGUGGGAGACUCAGUUAAUUACAAAGUCUGUCUUGACCUUUCCCUCCACCCCAGGAGUUCAGGUCUCUGUGGGUGCUCCCAGAGAACCUCUAAAGUACAGCGUGCCC